rfam:Azotobacter vinelandii DJ, complete genome.
CCGAUUGUUCCACCAACCGUUCCCUACCCGGACAGGCGAAGCCGGCAACAGCUUGGUCUGAAGCUCUAGGGACAAUGUAGCCACCGACGUCGUCGGUAGGUCGAGCCGUGAGGCAAGGCCGAAUCUGCCAGCAUCAAGGCGGAGAGGCGC